rnacentral:rRNA from 1 species
UACGUAGGGACCAAGCGUUGUUCGGAUUUACUGGGCGUAAAGGGCGCGUAGGCGGCGUGUUAAGUCAGUUGUGAAAUCUCCAAGCUUAACUUGGAACGGUCAGCUGAUACUGAUGUGCUAGAGUGCAGAAGGGGCAAUCGGAAUUCUUGGUGUAGCGGUGAAAUGCGUAGAUAUCAAGAGGAACACCUGAGGUGAAGACGGGUUGCUGGGCUGACACUGACGCUGAGGCGCGAAAGCUAGGGUAGCAAACGGG